CGUUGUAAACCAUGUUGACAACUUAACAAUAUAAAUUACGUUUAUGAGAGCAAAAUGGUCAGUCCUUGGUAUUUUGCUAUAGGGAUGUUUUACUGUACAUGUAUUUAUUCACCCUGUGGAAGUUUGAUAUGUAUACUUUCUAUACUUACAGUGUUUUAAUGUAGAAUUAUGACCACAGCAUUUCUUUUAUCUUGGCAGUACUAACUGUUAAAAUUAAUAUUAUUAUACCCCCCCCCCGCAACAAGUUGUGGGGGGUAUACUGGAAUCGGGUUGUCCGUCUGUCUGUAGACGCAAUGGUUUCCGGGCUCUAAAGCAUUAUCCUUUCCACCUACCGCCACCAUAUCAUAUAUAUGGACUACCCAUGGGAUGAAGAUGUUCCCUAUCGAUUUUGGGGUCAAAGGUCAAGCGCACUGGACAUCGAAGUAGCAAUAUGGUUUCCGGGCUCUAAAGCGUUAUCCUUUCCACCUACAGUCACCAUAUCAUAUAUAUGGACUACCCAUGGGAUGAAGAUGUUCCCUAUCGAUUUUGGGGUCAAAAGGUCAAAGGUCAAGCGCACUGGACAUCGAAAUAGCAAUAUGGUUUCCGGGCUCUAAAGCGUUAUCCUUUCCACCUACAGUCACCAUAUCAUACAUAUGGACUACCCAUGGGAUGAAGAUGUUCCCUAUCGAUUUUGGGGUCAAAAGGUCAAAGGUCACGUGCACUAGACAUCGAAGUAGCAAUAUGGUUCGGUUUGUCAUGCCAUUUGUUUUUUACACUCAGAAAAGAGGUAGUUUAUACCUAUUACCAACACCCUUUGGGAGAUUGGGGUAAGCGGGGUGUAUUCUUAGUGAGCAUUGCUCCAGUACCUCUUGUUUUUCAUUACUAAUGCCAUAAAAUCAGGGAUCCAAGGCCUAUGAUAAUUGUGCAAACUUAAAACAAAAAGGUGGAGGCUCAUACCUCACAUUACAAAGGUUUUGACCUAUGAAUAUGUGUGCCUAUCAUAAAAUGGCACUUUCUAUUCUGGUUUAAAUAUUUGUGUUUUUAAAAUUAAGUUGCAAUUUUUUCCAGAGGAAGUAAAGGAUAUUGAUGCCAGUUCUUGUGUAGUCUAGGUCACCUACACGUUUGUCAAUGCAGUGUUCUACGAGACAAACGUCUAGGAGCAUUCUACGAUAAACAUUUACACUCCAUAACGAGGCUUAUCUGAAUUCUGAUAAAGCAGCUGAUUGGUUGAUGCAUAUAACGAUGACGGACGCAGUCGAACAGAGGAUAAACAAAGUUUUAUCAGAUUUAAAAAUCGAAUUCUCGCUGAAACCUUUACAGAAAGAGUGUUUACUUAAUUAGCAAAUAGGUCAGACGUGUUGGCAGUAUUACCAACAGGCUAUGGGAAAUCGCUAUUGUAUACGAUUCUACCGCAAUUAAUGUUUGAAGAAGACCUGCAUAGUAAUACUAGUUCUCGUGAAGUCAGCAUAAUUCUGGUCAUAUCGUCACUGGUUUCUCUAAUGAAGGACCAAGUUUCGAACUUGCAAAAACACAACGUUUGCUUUCUUUAGAACAAGCGACACAUAAACUAACAAUUGGAACAACAGCUGUGGUCUUUGUUUUCUUCGGUGUCGCCAUUUCCGUUUUUCGAUAGCGCCCCCUCGCGGUGUAAUAUUUUUAAAUAGAACGCUCCAAGGCGUUUGAGUGGGAAGUCAAACGGCUUGCGUGACCUAGGCUAGUUCUUGUGUGGAUGAUGAGGAUCAGAGUGAGGAGGAAAGAGAUGACAGUCAAGACAACCAGAAUUUCCAAACUGUGACUCCAGGGAAGAGGGAGGCAGUAUCUGAUAGCGGAUGCUCCAGAGAAAUAGAUGAGUCUUCAUCCAAGCGACAGAAGUUACAGAAAAAGUCAUGGACUUCAUCUGAAAUGAACUCCAUUCACAAACAUUUUUCACACUUUAUUACCAUGUUGAAGGUACCCGGGAAAAAUGAUGUAACAAAUGUUUUGAAAAAAGAUAAAAAACCUUUCAAAAAGAACUUGGAGAAAUGUAAGAAACCAAGUCUACAAUCUAAUUAAAAAACAGAGAAAAUGUUGAUUUUGAUACUACUUUGAUUGUUCACUAGAAUUGAUGGUAUCUGUAUGAAAAAUGAUAUUUUUGUUUACAGUUCUUACAAUUUACAUAAAUUGUACAUAAAAGAAUUUGUUGAAUCAUUAUCAAAAUAGAUUUUGACAAAUUUCAGCUUUUUAGCUCAUAUGAGCCAAAGGCUCAAGUGAGCCUUUCUGAUCAAAAUUUGUCUGUUGUCUGUCAUUGUUGUGACCGGAAGGUCGGAUGUUCGAAUCCCUGCUGCGACUUGACCUGAGUCAAUAAGAAAUAGGUAGCAACUGUUCCAUGGCCAAGCGCUCAACACAUUGAAAUAAUAGUUUCAGGUCUUUCAGAUGAGACCUUAAAAACUGAGGUUCCGUGUCAUGGCAGGUGUUGGCAUGAUAAAGAUCCCUCACUGUUCGAUGGCCCUAAGUUCCGAGUAAAGGUCUAAAUUUGAAGCCCUUCGCUGGUAUAUGGUGAGGUCUCUAUAUGACUGAAAAUCUCAAACGGGAUGUAAAACAACAUACAAUCAAUCUAUCAAUCAGUCAUUGUCAACUUUUUACAAUAUCAUCUUCUUCUCCAGAACCACUGGGCCAGUUUCAACCAGACUUGGCACAAAUUAGGAAUUCAAGUUUGUGCAAAUGAAGGGCCACACCGUCUUUCAAGGGAAAAUAAUUAAGAAAAAGUAAAAUUGGGUGUUGUUAUUCAAAAAUCUUCUUCUCAAGAUCCUUUGGGUCAGUAAAGAUGAAACUUAAAUGAAAGCUUUCUGACAAAGUGUAAAUUCAAUUUAUUCAAAUCAUGACCCCGGGGUAUUGGUGGAGCCAUUAUGGGCAAUCAAAGUUUUACAUAGGAAUACAUAGGGAAAAUCUUUAAAAUCUUCUUCUUAAGAACAGCAGAGUCAUAAUCAGUCACAUUUAUAUGGAAGCAUCGUCAGGUAGUGUAGAUUCAAGUUUGUUCAAAUCAUGACCCCUGGGAGUAGGGUGGGGCCAUUAUGAACAAUCAAUACCUAGGAAUACAUAGGAAAAAUCCUUAAAAUCUAUUUCUCAAAAACAGCAUAGCCAUGAUAAUUCAUUUUAUAUGGAGGUAUCCUCAGGUAGUGUAGAAUCAAGUUUGGUCCAAUUGUGGCCCAGAGGUAGGGUGGGACAACUAUGGGCGGUCAAAUUUUUUACACAGGAAUACAUAGCAAAAUUCUUUAAAACUAUUUUCCCCAUGAAUAAAAAAGUAAUGAUUAGUCACAUAUAUAUAGAAGCAUCCUAUGGUAAGCAUAGAUUCAAGUUUGCUCUAGUCAUGAAUCCCCCCCCCACUACCUCCUGGGCUACAAUGAGUAAUCAAAUAAAAAAAAUUCAUAGGAAUAUGUGGGGGAAAAAAAUCUUCUGAUUAAACACAAGAAUGGUCAUAAUUACUCAGGUGAGCAUUGUGGCCCAUGGGCACAUUGUUUAAUCAAAAUGCAGAGAAUAUGUUAAUUUGCAUAUUACAUGUACAUGUAAUAUUGAUCAGUUGGUCAUGUGAUAUAAUUUUAUAUCUGAAAUGAAAUGAUGACAAUUGUAUGAAUGAUGAUGAGUUUAAAGUCAGAUUCUUUAACACAUGUAUUUUCAAAAAAAAAAUUGUCUGGAGGUAUUUUGGAAAUUUACUUUUUAUAGUAUUGUAAUAAAUGUUUGUUUUCAUGCUAUGUUGAAGGUCGAGUAUCUACGAACACAACUGAAUUGAAUGAACAUCAGAAGUAUUAGAUAAUGUAUUUACAACUGAAACUGUAAUAGAAUUUUAUCAAUUGAAUUUGUGAAAUUAAUUUGAUAAUAAAUUUUGAUUUUUUACCUAAAUUUAAACAUUUUGUUGCUUAGUAGAUCAGACAACAUUUAAAUCAUAAGAUUUAAACAUGAUACCCAUAGGCCAUUUUACUUAAACUGUUUGUAUUGACUGAAUGGUUCAGUACUUUUUUGUCAGUCAAUAACUUAAUACCUCAGUAUGUGAGCAGGUCCGGGAGAAUGGUGUCUGGUGUGAAUAAGGGACAUGCAGUCAAUCUGUAGCUCAUGGAUCUAAAAGAGGAAUAAAUAUGAUAUACGCUCUG